UACAGAGGGUGCAAGCGUUAAUCGGAAUUACUGGGCGUAAAGCGUGCGUAGACGGUUAUUUAAGUCAGGUGUGAAAGCCCAGGGCUCAACCUUGGAAUUGCAUUUGAGACUGAAUAGCUAGGGUGCGGAAGAGGGAAGCGGAAUUUCCGGUGUAGCGGUGAAAUGCGUAGAUAUCGGAAGGAACACCAGUGGCGAAAGCGGCUUCCUGGUCCAGCACCGACGCUCAGGCACGAAAGCGUGGGGAGCAAACAGG
rnacentral:rRNA from 1 species